AUGCAUUCCUACUUUUCUUUCACAUAUUCACAAACAAGAACAUGUUGUUGUUGCUGCAAGCUUCCAGACCCCGAAGCUUAG
rnacentral:rRNA from 1 species